rnacentral:rRNA from 1 species
GAUGAACGCUGGCGGCGUGCCUAAUACAUGCAAGUCGAACGCAGUGGGGACGGGUGAGUAACACGUGGGUAACCUCCCAUAAGAGGGGAUAACCCUUGGAAACAGGUGCUAAACCGAUACUGAUGGAUGGACCCGCGGUGCAUUAGCUAGUUGGUGAGGUAACGGCUCACCAAGGCCAAGAUGCAUAGACGACCUGAGAGGGUGAUCUGCCACACUGGAACUGAGACACGGCCCAGAAUCCUACGGGAGGCAGCAGUAGGGAAUAUUCGGCAAUGGGCGCAAGCCUGAUGCAGCCAUGCCGCGUGUAUGAAGAAGGCCUUCGGGUUGUAAAGUACUUUCAGCGGGGAGGCGUUACCCGCAGAAGAAGCACCGGCUAACUCCGUGCCAGCAGCCGCGGUAAUUC